rnacentral:misc_RNA from 1 species
AAGUCGUAACAAGGUAGCCGUAUCGGAAGGUGCGGCUGGAUCACCUCCUUUCUAAGGAGACAUGGUUUCUCGCUAGAGAAAUCAUAUCCUAAGGUCGAUGCUUUGAAGAACGUCACGGAAGCAAUGAAGUGAAACGAUUCAAAGUCGGAGAAGUCUUAAGAGACUUCUUAUAGGAAACUUGGCUUGUGUGAAGCAUGAGCAGAAGCCAUAGUUGACUUAUCCACGGAGUGGAAAAAUGCCGAAGAGGCAAAACGGAGCAAUCCGUAAAGUAUGGGAAAUGAAGCUGUUGAAGUUAAAAGCUAACUUGUUGUUUAGUUUUGAGGGACCAUAAAGUCUUCUAUAUGGGGGUAUAGCUCAGCUGGGAGAGCACCUGCCUUGCAAGCAGGGGGUCAGCGGUUCGAUCCCGCUUACCUCCACCAUAAUAUAUCUGGUUUCUCUAAUGUUUAUUAUGUUCUUUGAAAACUGCACAGAGAAGAAGAAAACUGUAAUUAGGAUAACAUCUAAAACCUAGAAGUGGCGGCAAAAAACGUUUGGUCAAGCUACUAAGGGCGUACGGUGGAUGCCUAGGCGCUAAGAGUCGAAGAAGGACGCGGCGAGCGGCGAAACGCCACGGGGAGCAGUAAGCAUGCCUUGAUCCGUGGAUAUCCGAAUGGGGCAACCCA